GAUGAACGCUAGCUACAGGCUUAACACAUGCAAGUCGCGGGGCAGCAUGGGGGUUGCUUGCAAUCCCCGAUGGCGACCGGCGCACGGGUGAGUAACGCGUAUCCAACCUGCCCUUCACCACGGGAUAACCCGGCGAAAGUCGGACUAAUACCGUAUGUUGUCCAUUGACGGCAUCCGAUUUGGACGAAAGGUUUGGCGGUGAAGGAUGGGGAUGCGUCCGAUUAGCUGGACGGCGGGGUGACGGCCCACCGUGGCGACGAUCGGUAGGGGUUCUGAGAGGAAGGUCCCCCACACUGGAACUGAGACACGGUCCAGACACCUACGGGAGGUAGCAGUGAGGAAUAUUGAUCAAUGGGCGUAAGCCUGAACCAGCCAAGUAGCGUGCAGGAUGACGGCCCUAUGGGCUGUAAACUGCUUUUAUGCGGGGAUAAAGUGGCCCACGUGUGGGUUUUUGCAGGUACCGCAUGAAUAAGGACCGGCUAAUUCCGUG
rnacentral:rRNA from 1 species